GCUGCGGGCACCAACUUCUGGCAGACGCACCUGAAAGGAAGCCGACAAAUCUGCGGGAAGAAAGGGGAGGCCAUUAGAAAUGACAAGAAGCGAAAAGCUGGUGCAGAAAAGUGAGGAUGACUGCUGGCAAGCAAGUGAUCUUCACGAUGCAGUCCAGUUCUCCAGCUAAUGGGUGAUGCUAGAGUAGAACUGGCCAAAGCACAAUGGCUGUUCGAGAUCCUGGGGCACACAGGUCCCUGAGCUAUGACCGCUGUCAAACAUAAAAGCUAAGGAAUUUUGGUGGGUCCCCAAACUGUUGACACUAUACUGAUGAAAAUCUCCAAUGAAAUUUAGUUUAUUUUA